CACACAUUUUUGUGUGUUCUGUGGAUCGCCAGGAGCAAAAAGGAACCAAGGAGAAACCCUAGUUCCUAAAAUUCUCAAAAUCAGAAGGAGUUUAAGAGCCUAAACAAAUGCAUGAACCCAAAACUCGAGUUAUCUAAGCUUGUUCAACGAAUGGCACGAAGAAGGAAGAAGGUACGAGUCACUUGAAGUCACAAGCUUCACAAGAUCACUGUAAAUCUCAUGCUUAGAAUGGCGAGCUCGGAUUCGAACACACCACAUCGUCCAUAUAUGCGCUUCCGGUUCAAGUUAUCUUUUGAAAUGGGUCAAAUAAUUUUUGUAAUGUAAAUGUAAAUUUUAUGUUUUAGGAUGUUCGUAAGUAGUUUGAAUUUUAAAACCUUUUUGGGUAGUUCGGACAUAACCUUUGUAUUAGGUCUUGUAUGGUCACUACUUUUAUUUCUUUUGAAAAAGUGUCGUAGAAGUUUAUUUGAAUGACGCUUGUUAAAAGCAGGGGAAAUGUUUAUAGUACGAACGGGUCAUGCCAAAAUUUUGUCAAAAAAAAAAAUUAGUAUGUUAUUUUUAAUCUAUUUGAAUGUGAAAAAGUGAGCGUUACAAGUUGGUAUCAGAGCCGAGGUUUGAGGGAUUCAAGUAUUAGAGUUAAAAUGCUUGAACUCAAACCGAAAGCUCGUAUGAAGGUGUGUUCGUUCUGAAGCGCUAUGCAAGUAAGUAAAUUGUAAAUUUUGAUUAUGCUUAUGGUUAGAAAUGGGAAGGGGUUUAUAGUUAACUCAAUAGAAUAACCUGGGUUGUAACAUUACGGGAUGUUGCGGGAGGUUUCGGAACGUCAAGGAACCUUUUCGGGUCA